GACGUAGGGCGCGAGCGUUGUCCGGAUUUAUUGGGCGUAAAGAGCUCGUAGGCGGCUUGUCGCGUCGACCGUGAAAACUCGCAGCUCAACUGCGAGCCUGCGGUCGAUACGGGCAGGCUAGAGUUCGGUAGGGGAGACUGGAAUUCCUGGUGUAGCGGUGAAAUGCGCAGAUAUCAGGAGGAACACCGAUAGCGAAGGCAGCUCGCUGGGACGGUACUGACGCUAAGGCGCGAAAGCGUGGGGAGCGAACAGG
rnacentral:rRNA from 1 species